AUUGAACGCUGGCGGCAUGCCUUACACAUGCAAGUCGAACGGCAGCACGGGGCAACCUGGUGGCGAGUGGCGAACGGGUGAGUAAUGCAUCGGAACGUACCUUUCAGUGGGGGAUAACGUAGCGAAAGUUACGCUAAUACCGCAUAUUCUGUGAGCAGGAAAGCAGGGGAUCGCAAGACCUUGCGCUGAUUGAGCGGCCGAUGUCAGAUUAGCUAGUUGGUGAGGUAAAGGCUCACCAAGGCGACGAUCUGUAACGGGUCUGAGAGGAUGAUCCGCAACACUGGAACUGAGACACGGUCCAGACUCCUACGGGAGGCAGCAGUGGGGAAUUUUGGACAAUGGGGGCAACCCUGAUCCAGCCAUGCCGCGUGAGUGAAGAAGGCCUUCGGGUUGUAAAGCUCUUUCGGCCGGGAAGAAAUCGCACGGGCUAAUACCCUGUGUGGAUGACGGUACCGGAAUAAGAAGCACCGGCUAACUACGUGCCAGCAGCCGCAGUAACAC
rnacentral:rRNA from 1 species